UACGUAGGGGGCAAGCGUUGUCCGGAUUUAUUGGGCGUAAAGAGCGUGUAGGCGGCCAGGUAGGUCUGCUGUGAAAACUCGAGGCUUAACCUCGAGCUGUCGGCGGAAACCAUCUGGCUAGAGUCCGGAAGAGGAGAAUGGAAUUCCCGGUGUAGCGGUGAAAUGCGCAGAGUAUCGGGAAGAACACCCGUGGCGAAGGCGGUUCUCU
rnacentral:rRNA from 1 species